rnacentral:lncRNA from 1 species
CAGGCCGGCGCGUUAACAUAGGACCACGUCGGGCAUGCGCAUACUGCACGCAUGCAUCAGAGCAUGCGUACUUCCAUCUGAGAUUCUGCCAGGUUGAACAAGACUCGGCCUUUGUGAGGCGUGCUCAGAUCCUCAGAGGAAGUGACAGACAGGCCUUUUACUUGAAGUGAAAUCACUUUUGGGAGGUAUUUCCUGAGGACGUCUCAUUCACUCACGUGGUAUCUGGCACCCUGGGCUGUGGGAUUGCAUGUGGAAUAAAUGAAGUCUUCGGACCUCGGGUAAGUUGAGCAGAAAUGGCCUCUUUGUUGGUCCCCAUCCCCUUUCUUGGUGACCUCCUCCCUUCUUUCCUUCACGGGGCUGCUCAGA